rnacentral:lncRNA from 1 species
GGGGUUUUGGCACCACGACCUUCGGGCGCUUAUUUUUCGGUGCGGCUUUGCCCGCGGCUUAUUUUUGGUACCCCGAGGCCCCUCGCAAAGUCUCGCCCCAUUCCGAGCCCGGCGGACGAACUUCGCCCGCGCCCCCCACCAAGGCUAUAGCCCACCCGUUUUUUGGCCAUUUUUCCGCUGGGGGGUUUUGGAACUACGACCUUCGGGCGCUUAUUUUUGGGCGCGGCUUUGCCCGCGGCUUAUUUUUGGCACCCCAAGGCCCCUCGUAAAGUCUGCCCCAUUCCGAGCCCGGCGGACGAACUUCGCCCGCGCCCCCCACCAAGGCUAUAGCCCACCCGUUUUUUGGCCAUGUUUCCGCUGGGGGUUUUGGCACCACGACCUUUGGGCGCUUAUUUUUCGGCGCGGCUCUGCCCGCGGCUUAUUUUUGGCACCCCGAGGCCCCUCGCAAAGUCUCGCCCCAUUCCGAGUCCGGCGGACGAACUUCGCCCGCGCCGCCCACCAAGGCUAUAGCCCACCCGUUUUUUGGCCAUUUUUCCGCUGGGGGGUUUUGGAACUAGGACCUUCGGGCGCUUAUUUUUGGGCGCGGCUUUGCCCGCGGCUUAUUUUUCGCACUCCGAGGCCCCUCGCAAAGUCUUGCCCCAUUCCGAGUCCUGCGGACGAACUUCGCCCGCGCCCCCCACCAAGGCUAUAGCCCACCCGUUUUUUGGCCAUUUUUCAGCUGGGGGGUUUUGGCACCACGACCUUCGGGCUCCUAUUUUUGGGCGCGGCUUUGCCCGCGGCUUAUUUUUGGCACCCCGAGGUCCCUCGCAAAGUCUCGCCCCAUUCCGAGUCCGGCGGACGAACUUCGCCCGCGCCCCCCACCAAGGCUUUAGCCCACCCGUUUUUUGGCCAUUUUUCCGCUGGGGGGUUUUGGCACCACGACCUUCGGGUGCUUAUUUUUGGGCGCGGCUUUGCCCGCGGCUUAUUUUUGGCACCCCGAGGCCCCUCGCAAAGUCUCGCCCCAUUCCGAGUCCGGCGGACGAACUUCGCCCGCGCCCCCCACCAAGGCUAUAGCCCACCCGUUUUUUGGCCAUUUUUCCGCUGGGGGGUUUUGGAACUACGACCUUCGGGCGCUUAUUUUUGGGCGCGGCUUUGCCCGCGGCUUAUUUUUGGCACCCCGAGGCCCCUCGUAAAGUCCGCCCCAUGCCGAGUCCGGCGGACGAACUUCGCCAGCGCCCCCCACCAAGGCUAUAGCCCACCCGUUUUUUGGCCAUUUUUCCGCUGGGGGUUUUGGCACCACGACCUUCGGGCGCUUAUUUUUCGUGCGGCUUUGCCCGCGGCUUAUUUUGGUACCCGAGGCCCCUCGUAAGUCUCGCCCCAUUCCGAGUCCGGCGGACGAACUUCGCCCGCGCCCCCCACCAAGGCUAUAGCCCACGACCCGUUUUUUGGCCAUUUUUCCGCUGGGGGGUUUUGGCACCACGACCUUCGGGCGCUUAUUUUUGGGCGCGGCUUUGCCCGCGGCUUAUUUUUGGCACCCCGAGGCCCCUCGCAAAGUCUCGCCCCAUUCCGAGUCCGGCGGACGAACUUCGCCCGCGCCCCCCACCAAGGCUAUAGCCCACCCGUUUUUUGGCCAUUUUUCCGCUGGGGGGUUUUGGAACUACGACCUUCGGGCGCUUAUUUUUGGGCGCGGCUUUGCCCGCGGCUUAUUUUUGGCACCCCGAGGCCCCUCGUAAAGUCCGCCCCAUGCCGAGUCCGGCGGACGAACUUCGCCAGCGCCCCCCACCAAGGCUAUAGCCCACCCGUUUUUUGGCCAUUUUUCCGCUGGGGGUUUUGGCACCACGACCUUCGGGCGCUUAUUUUUCGGUGCGGCUUUGCCCGCGGCUUAUUUUUGGUACCCCGAGGCCCCUCGUAAAGUCUCGCCCCAUUCCGAGUCCGGCGGACGAACUUCGCCCGCGCCCCCCACCAAGGCUAUAGCCCACCCGUUUUUUGGCCAUUUUUCAGCUGGGGGGUUUUGGCACCACGACCUUCGGGCUCUUAUUUUUGGGCGCGGCUUUGUCCGCGGCUUAUUUUUAGCACCCCGAGGCCCCUCGCAAAGUCUCGCCCCAUUCCGAGUCCGGCGGACGAACUUCGCCCGCGCCACCCACCAACGCUAUAGCCCACCCGUUUUUUGGCCAUUUUUCCGCUGGGGGGUUUUGGCGCCACGACCUUCGGGCGCUUAUUUUUGGGCGCGGCUUUGCCCGCGGCUUAUUUUUGGCACCCCGAGCCCCCUCGUAAAGUCCGCCCCAUUCCGAGUCCGGCGGACGAACUUCGCCCGCGCCCCCCACCAAGGCUAUAGCCCACCCGUUUUUUGGCCAUUUUUCAGCUGGGGGGUUUUGGCACCACGACCUUCGGGCUCUUAUUUUUGGGCGCGGCUUUGCCCGCGGCUUAUUUUUGGCACCCCGAGGCCCCUCGCAAAGUCUCGCCCCAUUCCGAGUCCGGCGGACGAACUUCGCCCGCGCCACCCACCAUCGCUAUAGCCCACCCGUUUUUUGGCCAUUUUUCCGCUGGGGGGUUUUGGCACCACGACCUUCGGGCGCUUAUUUUUGGGCGCGGCUUUGCCCGCGGCUUAUUUUUGGCACCCCGAGCCCCCUCGUAAAGUCCGCCCCAUUCCGAGUCCGGCGGACGAACUUCGCCCGCACCCCCCACCAAGGCUGUAGCCCACCCGUUUUUUGGCCAUUUUUCCGCUGGGGGGUUUUGGAACUACGACCUUCGGGCGCUUAUUUUUGGGCGCGGCUUUGCCCGCGGCUUAUUUUUGGCACCCCGAGGCCCCUCGUAAAGUCCGCCCCAUGCCGAGUCCGGCGGACGAACUUCGCCAGCGCCCCCCACCAAGGCUAUAGCCCACCCGUUUUUUGGCCAUUUUUCCGCUGGGGGUUUUGGCACCACGACCUUCGGGCGCUUAUUUUUCGGUGCGGCUUUGCCCGCGGCUUAUUUUUGGUACCCCGAGGCCCCUCGUAAAGUCUCGCCCCAUUCCGAGUCCGGCGGACGAACUUCGCCCGCGCCCCCCACCAAGGCUAUAGCCCACCCGUUUUUGGCCAUUUCCGCUGGGGGGUUUUGGAACUACGACCUUCGGGCGCUUAUUUUUGGGCGCGGCUUUGCCCGCGGCUUAUUUUUGGCACCCCAAGGCCCCUCGUAAAGUCUGCCCCAUUCCGAGCCCGGCGGACGAACUUCGCACGCGCCCCCCACCAAGGCUAUAGCCCACCCGUUUUUUGGACAUGUUUCCGCUGGGGGUUUUGGCACCACGACCUUUGGGCGCUUAUUUUUCGGCGCGGCUCUGCCCGCGGCUUAUUUUUGGCACCCCCAGGCCCCUCGCAAAAUCUCGCCCCAUUCCGAGUCCGGCGGACGAACUUCGCCCGCGCCCCCCACCAAAGCUAUAGCCCCNNNNNNNNNNNNNNNNNNNNNNNNNNNNNNNNNNNNNNNNNNNNNNNNNNNNNNNNNNNNNNNNNNNNNNNNNNNNNNNNNNNNNNNNNNNNNNNNNNNNCCGGCUUUGCCCCGCCGGCUUUAUUUUUGGUACCCCCGAGCCCCCUCGCAAAGUCUCGCCCCCAUUCCGAGUCCGGCGGACGAACUUCGCCCGCGCCCGCCCCACCAAGGAUAUAGCCCACCCGUUUUUUGGCCAUUUUUCCGCUGGGGGGUUUUGGAACUAGGACCUUCGGGCGCUUAUUUUUAGGCGCGGCUUUGCCCGCGGCUUAUUUUUCGCACUCCGAGGCCCCUCGUAAAGUCCGCCCCAUUCCGAGUCCGGCGGACGAACUUCGCCCGCGCCCCCCACCAAGGCUAUAGCCCACCCGUUUUUUGGCCAUUUUUCCGCUGGGGGGUUUUGGAACUAGGACCUUCGGGCGCUUAUUUUUAGGCGCGGCUUUGCCCGCGGCUUAUUUUUCGCACUCCGAGGCCCCUCGUAAAGUCCGCCCCAUUCCGAGUCCGGCGGACGAACUUCGCCCGCGCCCCCCACCAAGGCUAUAGCCCACCCGUUUUUUGGCCAUUUUUCAGCUGGGGGGUUUUGGCACCACGACCUUCGGGCUCUUAUUUUUGGGCGCGGCUUUGCCCGCGGCUUAUUUUUGGCACCCCGAGGCCCCUCGCAAAGUCUCGCCCCAUUCCGAGUCCGGCGGACGAACUUCGCCCGCGCCACCCACCAACGCUAUAGCCCACCCGUUUUUUGGCCAUUUUUCCGCUGGGGGGUUUUGGCACCACGACCUUCGGGCGCUUAUUUUUGGGCGCGGCUUUGCCCGCGGCUUUGCCCGCGUCUUAUUUUUGGCACCCCGAGCCCCCUCGUAAAGUCCGCCCCAUUCCGAGUCCGGCGGACGAACUUCGCCCGCGCCCCCCACCAAGGCUAUAGCCCACCCGUUUUUUGGCCAUUUUUCAGCUGGGGGGUUUUGGCACCACGACCUUCGGGCUCUUAUUUUUGGGCGCGGCUUUGCCCGCGGCUUAUUUUUGGCACCCCGAGGCCCCUCGCAAAGUCUCGCCCCAUUCCGAGUCCGGCGGACGAACUUCGCCCGCGCCACCCACCAACGCUAUAGCCCACCCGUUUUUUGGCCAUUUUUCCGCUGGGGGGAUUUGGCACCACGACCUUCGGGCGCUUAUUUUUGGGCGCGGCUUUGCCCGCGGCUUAUUUUUGGCACCCCGAGCCCCCUCGUAAAGUCCGCCCCAUUCCGAGUCCGGCGGACGAACUUCGCCCGCGCCCCCCACCAAGGCUGUAGCCCACCCGUUUUUUGGCCAUUUUUCCGCUGGGGGGUUUUGGAACUACGACCUUCGGGCGCUUAUUUUUGGGCGCGGCUUUGCCCGCGGCUUAUUUUUG